rnacentral:rRNA from 1 species
CUACGGGUCGCUGCAGUGGGGAAUAUUGGACAAUGGGCGCAAGCCUGAUCCAGCAAUACCGCGUGUGUGAAGAAGGCCUGCGGGUUGUAAAGCACUUUCAAUUGGGAAGAAAAGCCUGAGGCUAAUAUCCUCGGGUCUUGACGUUACCUUUAGAAGAAGCACCGGCUAACUCCGUGCCAGCAGCCGCGGUAAUACGGAGGGUGCGAGCGUUAAUCGGAAUUACUGGGCGUAAAGCGCGCGUAGGCGGCUUGUUAAGUCAGAUGUGAAAGCCCCGGGCUCAACCUGGGAACUGCAUUUGAUACUGGCAGGCUAGAGUGUGGUAGAGGGAAGUGGAAUUCCAGGUGUAGCGGUGAAAUGCGUAGAUAUCUGGAGGAACAUCAGUGGCGAAGGCGACUUCCUGGACCAACACUGACGCUGAGGUGCGAAAGCGUGGGUAGCAAACAGGAUUAGAUACCCUGGUAGUC